UACGGAGGGUGCGAGCGUUGUCCGGAAUUAUUGGGCGUAAAGAGCUCGUAGGCGGCUUGUCGCGUCGACCGUGAAAACUCGCAGCUCAACUGCGAGCCUGCGGUCGAUACGGGCAGGCUAGAGUUCGGUAGGGGAGACUGGAAUUCCUGGUGUAGCGGUGAAAUGCGCAGAUAUCAGGAGGAACACCGAUGGCGAAGGCAGGUCUCUGGGCCGAUACUGACGCUGAGGAGCGAAAGCGUGGGGAGCGAACAGG
rnacentral:rRNA from 1 species